rnacentral:rRNA from 1 species
CGCCUCUUGAACAAAAAUAAGAGGUCCAGCCUGCCCAGUGACUAAUAUUCAACGGCCGCGGUAUCCUAACCGUGCGAAGGUAGCGCAAUCACUUGUUCUUUAAAUGGGGACUAGUAUGAAUGGCAUCACGAGGGUUAUACUGUCUCCUUUUUCUAAUCAGUGAAUCUAAUCUCCCCGUGAAGAAACGGGGAUACACCUACAAGACGAGAAGACCCUAUGGAGCUUUAAAUACCUCUUCAAACGUUGGACCCCCUCCCCAGUUUUAAACUCACCUAUAUUAACCCCGUACGCUAUGAAGACAACUUUAGGUUGGGGUGACCGCGGAGUACAACAUAACCUCCACGCUGAAUCAGACUCUUUAAGCCUGAACCAAGAGCCACUGCUCAAAGCACUAAGAAAUUAACAUCUAUUGACCCAAAACAUUUGAUCAACGAACCAAGUUACCCUAGGGAUAACAGCGCAAUCCAUUUCAAGAGUCCAUAUCGACAAAUGGGUUUACGACCUCGAUGUUGGAUCAGGGUAUCCCAGUGGUGCAGCCGCUACUAAUGGUUCGUUUGUUCAACGAUUAAAACCC